UACGGAGGGGGCUAGCGUUGUUCGGAAUUACUGGGCGUAAAGCGCACGUAGGCGGCUUUGUAAGUUAGAGGUGAAAGCCCAGGGCUUAACCCUGGAAUUGCCUUUAAGACUGCAUCGCUAGAAUUGUGGAGAGGUAAGUGGAAUUCCGAGUGUAGAGGCGAAAUUCGUAGAUAUUCGGAAGAACACCAGUGGCGAAGGCGACUUACUGGACACAUAUUGACGCUGAGGUGCGAAAGCGUGGGGAGCAAACAGG
rnacentral:rRNA from 1 species